AUACAAAAGGGCUUUGUAAAAAAAUAACAAAUGAAAAUGAGAAAAAGACAAGCGAAAAUAAUAAUAAGAAGAUUUUUCAUAAAACUGACUUUUUAAAAGGGGUAGGACUGGGAGAAGGAAAAGGUAUUAACAACAUAUCUAACGAAAUAGAUAAUAUAGAUUUGGAUAAUAUAUUUAAUGAAGAUGAAAAUGCAUUUAGUCAGGAUGAAAACGAUUUCAAUGAAGAUGCUAUUGAGGCUACAUAUGACUUCCAGAAAUUUUGUGAAAAAGAAAUGAAAAGUAUGGACGAGGUUGGAACUAAUAAUAAUACAAAUAAACUCGAGAACGAACAAAAUAAUAUUAAUAUGGACCCAGGCGCAAACCAAAACCCAGACUCGGAUUUAGGAAAUAAUAAAAAUAGUAAUAAGGAUGACAAUAAAGAAAACGACAAUAAAAAUGAGAACAAAACACAUAGAGAUGAUUUUGAUAAUGAUUUUGAUAAUAAUAAUAAUAAUAAUAAUAAUCAAAUGGAAGAAACUAUUGAUGAUGUUUAUGAAAAUAUUAAUGGUAAAGGAACAGUAAGUCAUAAUGAGUCCUGCGAUGUUAUGCAUAAUAACAAAAAGGAAAACAAGAAUGAAACAGGAGGUGAUAGUGAGAAAGAUGAUAUAAAUAAGGACAAGCAAGAUACAUCAAAAAUGAAACAAAAUGAGCAUUCGAAAAGCGAUGAGCAGAUAGAAAAGGGUGACCCAACUGAGGACAAGAGUGACCCAAAUGAGGACAGGAGUGACCCAAAUGUUGACAGGAGUGACCCAACUGAGGACAAGAGUGACCCAAAUGUUGACAGGAGUGACCCAACUGAGGACAAAGGUGACCCAACUGAGGACAAAGGUGACCCAAAUGUUGACAGGAAUAAAAAAAAAGAAGACUUGCUUAACCACAAUCAAGAUAAAACUGAUAACAAAACAAAUAUCAACGACAAUUUAAAUUAUGAGGAAUUACCUGGCACAGAUGAAAAUAAUAAUUGUGAUUUACCAUAUGAUCAACAAAAUGAUAAUAAUAUUAACCCUAGCUGGAUGGACAAUAAACAAAUGACUGAUAUUAGCAAUGACUCCAACCUAACUGAUAAUAAUAAUAAUAAUAAUAAUAAUAAUAAUAAUAAUAAUAAUAAUAGUAAUAAUAACUUUGACUUUGGUUUUGAUUUUAACUCUGACUUAGAAAUCGAAUCAAGUGAUUUUUCUGGCUGUGCUAGUGAAAAAACGUAUAGUAUUUGUGACGCAGAAGAUUCAGAUGAAUAUGCGAGUGACACCAACGAUAAUAAAAAUUUGACGCAAAAGAAGGAAGAUGGUACGAAAAAAAAUAACAACGACACGAAUAAAAAUAAAUUAAACGAAAAAGAACUUAACGAAAAUUGUUACUUAAAUGAACGUAUUGACAAAAAUAUGGUAGACAUAGAAGAAGACGAAAAUUUACCUUUUGCUGGAGACGAACAUGAACAGCAAGAAAUGGAACUACACUCGGAUAUUGAAGAUGCUAGCCAUAGUGAUAAUAAUAAAAUAGAACAAACAAAGGUUACAAAUAAAGAUAUGGAUAAAAAUGACGACACACAAAAUGAAUUACAAGAUGAGGAACAGAAUAAAAAUAAUAACCUUACAGUGAAAGAAAAUAUGUUACAAGAAAAUAGAGAUGCGUUAAAUGACAACAUUGAUGAUGAAUUAAAUGAUAGUGGUAAUAAUGAUGUGAAUAAUAAGAAAAAUUUUAUAGCUGAUGAAGUCGAAGCGGAAAAGCAGAAUGAUGCUGGGACUGAUCAAGGUUUUAAUGAAAAGGAAAAUGAGACUGUAACAGUGGACACCCAGAAAGGAAAAGGAAUAGACGAACAAACAGACGAACAAACAGACGAACAAACAGACGAACAAACAGACGAACAAACAGACGAACAAACAGGCGAACAAAUAGGCGAACAAACAGGCGAACAAAUAGGCGAACAAACAGACGAACAAACAGACGAACAAACAGACGAACAAAUAGGCGAACAAACAGGCGAACAAACAGGCGAACACACAGACGAACACACAGACGAACAAACAGGCGAACAAACAGACGAACAAACAGACGCACUUAACACAAAUGAUCAUUCAGAUUUUACCCCAGUUGAAAAAGAAAAUACAAAAAAAGAACAUAUCGAAGCGGAACAGAAUUAUAAAAAUGGUUUUCCUGCUCUUAGAUAUGAUGAAAUAGAAAAAAAUAAAAAAACAAAGAAUAUUAUGAAUGAAUAUAGUGAUAAGGGUGGUCAGCAAAAUAAAAUAUCAGAUAAUGAUGUCGCUGAAGUUGUUAGUGAUAACGCUGAAGUUGGUAGUGAUGACGCUGAAGUUGGUAGUGAUAACGCUGAAGUUGGUAGUGAUAACGCUGAAGUUGGUAGUGAUAACGCUGAAGUUGGUAAUAAUAAAAUGAAUUAUACAAAAACGGGAAAUCAGGGUUAUGAGGGUGACAGUUACGACAACACCGAAAACAAAAACAACAGCAACAACAAAGCAGAAGAAGAAAAAGAUGGUAAUCUAUCAACCAGCAAUAAAUUUUCUUUUACUAUUGACAAAUGCAAUGUAUAUACGGAAAAUUUUAUUGAUAUAACUAAUUUUAUUCAAAAAAUAAAUAAAUAUUUAUCACAUAAUAUAGAUGAAAGUCGUACCUCUGAUAAUGGAAAUGAAACCUGUAGUUCUGACAAUGAGAAAAUGAAAAAUGAACAAAAGAAAGUAGGAGGAAAAAAUGACCAGAUGCAGCAAGAACAGAAAGAGCAACAUAAGAAAGAAUUUAGUAGUAAAAAAUAUAAUACUACGGGUAAAGAAAUAAAAGCCGAAUUUAACAGUGACAAUGAAAGAUGUGAAAUGAUGGACGAACUGAAAGAAGUUAAAGCAAGAGACAUGAAUCAAGGUGAAAUGAAACAAACAGAAAAUACAGAACCCACCAAAAUGAAUCAUAAAACGAGCAAGUUAGAUGCAACAAACGACAAAAAGGAGAACGAAUCAAAAAUUAUAAACAAAAAAAAAAUGAUAAAUAAGAAAGAUAGUAAGAAUAAAAAUAAGAAUAUUAACGACUUCGAUUGUGAUGAUGGUGUGUCAGAUAGGGUUACGUCAAAUGAAAGUAUUAAUAUAUAUUCGUCAGAAGAAGGCGAAGAAGAGCAUGAAAAUUAUAGCGAACACGACGACAAAAAUACUAAUCCUGAUGGUAAUGGUGAUGAUAAUAAUUAUGAGAAUAAUGGUGCUACUACUACUUCUAGCGAAAUGGAUUGUGACAAGGAUGAAAAGAAUAACAACACAGAUAGUGAUGAUGAUGAUGAUGAUGAUGAUGUAGAAAAAAUGGUGUCCAAAUUAAAACACGACUCGAACAAAAAUGAAAAUGAUUAUAACAACAAAGAAUGUUACAAAAUGUAUGAAAAUACAAAGGUGUUUGAAAAUAAAGAACACACGAGUGAAGAAAAUACAGACAAAUCAUUUGAAAACAAAUUAAUAAUUGAAACAAUAUAUUCCAAUACGAAUCAUAUUAUCAAUUCAGACAUUUGCAAUAGUAUAGGUAAUAAAG
ensembl:lncRNA